UAAAGUUUAACAGGUAAUUGCAAAAGCCCUCGCUCUGCUCUUAACAACAGAGGUGUGUAUGUGUGGAGACAUCUAUUAAAUCACAAUACAUCUAUGAUACACCGCAGAUGGACAAUGAGGUUUACAGCUUAACGCAGUGGAGGAGGGGGCUCUCCAGUCAGACUGUGACCUUCCAAGCACCCCUACCACAUACUGUCAACCGAUGCAUGACUUCAAUUCCCACCCACAGAGUUCACCGUCAUCCAGUGUUUUUGAAAUCAAUCCACCAAUGGCUAACAUUUACGAAGGUGUUUUAACAUGAAUCAGAUUACAAAAAAAUCCACGUUACUAAGAGUGAAUUUCCUCAAAAUACACCAAACCUGCGUGCCAUGCAGUUUUUUGAUCCCUUCACAUCACUCCCAUCCAGACAUUAGUAAUCUUCAGGAGGAAGGAAGCUGGUGUCAUGUUUUUGCUGAGAUCAGUUGAAAGCAGACACGAUCGUGUUGUAUGUGUCACAAAAAGAGGAACAGUGAUGAGAAGACCAGCGGCCUCCAUCUGCCUGCAUCCUUCCUCUCAUGUCAGGGACUCCUCAACAUGUUUAUUGUCUUUUACAGCUGUUGUUUUCACACUCGGAAUGGAAAAACUUUGGCUUGAUGCUUCCAUAAUUAUCGCACGUAAAACACCCACUAACUCGUUGAUUUUUUUUUUAUGUGAAAAAGUACAGUUCAAGCGCCUGAAUAAAAAUCCUUUAAAAAAAAAAAUAUUAGUUUAGACAAUAGUGUAAAUUACAUUUUUUUUCCUCAGUAAAAUUAUUAAUGAUUUUUUCCGUUAUUGUAAGUUUUCUAUACCGUAAACUGUAAAAAUAACAGUAAAAUUACAUUUUUCAUGCUGUUGUAUAAAAAAACACAUUCUUAAUUGAAUGCAUUGAAUCGAGAAAGAUUCUUAUAAAAGUCUGUAAUAUUUUGGUGGAUGAACUGAAAUAUGUCAAAUGUCAACAGUGAGUGUCAACAUUUAUGACGGACUUCUAGACAGCGAUUUUCUUUUUCCCUGACUAUAAACACAGUGAUAAUUCUCCAAUCUUGGUGAUGAUUCUUUCAGUAUUCAUUUCAUUUAGUGAAUCAUUCAAUUGUGUAAUAGGUUUGUGUAAUAACUAGGUUCAUUGCAUUUUUGCACAACGGCACACGCAAGUUAACCAAUGUGUGUUCCAUAUUCCUUAAUGCUAAGAUUGUGAAACUGCAAAAAAAUCUGCAGAUGUAUACACUAUGUCUAUAGUUGCUAUGGGUUUUAAGAGAAGUAUGAGGACACAUCUGCUCAACACACUGCCGGAUUAAAACGCUUUAUGUUUGUAGUACAAUCAAUGUUGGCUGAAUUGGAUCAAAUCAUUGACAAAAGUAUGGAAAGCUAUAAUAAAGUCAAUUAGCACCAACAAGUGGUUUUUAUAGGUUUUAAAAAGUUUUACAGUAUGUACAAUUGUCUGGUAGUGUAUAUGAAAUAAAAAGAGAAUUUCAUGUUUAUUGCUAGGGACCAUUUUUCGUUGUGUUUCGAUUCACAUAAGGUCUGUGGAUGUGCUAGAAAACACUGAGUAGGUGUUGUGGUCUACCAACAGCAGAUGGUCGCCUCUGUGCAGAAGAAAAGAUUGAGUUUCACAUUAAUAUUUCAGCGAUAGAGUGUGAAUCUGAAUUGAUGCAUUUCUCUGUUUGUGUGUGUGUGUUUGUGAGAUAGAAGAGAAAGAUAUGCCACAGACGCCAGCAAUAAACACAUGACGUUUGCGCUCUGUAACCCUGAUCUGUUUGGCACAGUCAGCACAUGCUGGGCAACAUCCGAUGGUGAAUUCGCAAGAAGAAAACAUAAUGAACAUGAAUGAUGUUGCUCUAGUGUUAUGAAGGGAUUAUGUGGUCAGUGUUUACAGUCAUAUCUCAAGUCUCAAGCCGGCCAAAUUCUUACUGAUGGAUGCUGCUCGGCCCAUAAUGCCGGAUUACUAUUAAUUCUUUUCCUGCAGCUGUGGAGGAAGCUGAGCGAUGGAGGGGGCGCCAAUGAAAACUGCAGGUUUCUAAUGCCGGGGCCUCACCACAAGAUAAUCGGGCCAAUUUCUUCCCUUCCGACAAUCCUGGGUAAAGUCCAGAUGAUCUUAAGGCUAAAAUACACUACAAGACUUUUGCUCAGAUUUUCAGUCUGGACGUGUUGCAGUAAGCUCUCUGCCAGUCUGCAGUUAGUGUUUUUCUAUCUGAAACUUUCAAAAAGUCUGUAAGUGUAUGAUGUCUAGUGUUAGUCAGGUGAGUCAAGCUCGCAUCAGCUGAUCCUCAUCUACCUAUAGAAAUAUGACGCCAUCACAACAACUGCUUUAAAAAUUCAUACAGCUAACAGCAUCUUAUUGCGUUGCUCAGGAGCUAAUUACCCUCCUCAAUCCCCAGUUCCACUUCACAUUUUUUAUCAAGACUCGAAUUCUGUUAUUCCUUUCCAUAAUUUAGUCUCAAUUAGUUUACAUAAUGUGUUACACUUAAAUAUUAUUGCUGCGCUCCCUGCUCAUAUUCAUGCUGGCUGCGGGAUUGGCAGCUAGUUUUUGCCAAGAACAGAAGCAUACCACCAAUCUAAACUGUAUGCUUAUUGUAAAUCAUUUUUAUCGGUGGUGAACCAAACAGAAAUACAGUAUGUACAAUCCAUGGCCAAUAUUCCAGCUUUCUGAAGCCAUUGGAUAGCUUUCUGUAAGGAAUUGUAUAAGUGUUAAUCAUUUGCUGUUUUUGAAUAGGCCAGUAUAUGAUUUCGUAUGGGUUGUUUGUUGUGUUGUGUCCUAUAACUUAAUUCAAAUCAAUCAAUGAAAUGUACAUUUAUACAAUUACAGUAUGCAUAUACAUACAGUAUAUAAAAUACCAUCUUUAUAUAAAGCAGCUUCUUGACGCACAAUCCUGAGAUACUGAACAAUACUGAAAAGUUUAACAUUCUGAAAGAGUUUACAUCUACUCUGGAUUCUUACUGGUUUCCUCUUCCUCAU